UACAGAGGUCCCGAGCGUUGUUCGGAUUCACUGGGCGUAAAGGGUGCGUAGGUGGUGGGGUAAGUCGGAUGUGAAAGCUCGGAGCUCAACUCCGAAAUGGCAUUGGAAACUACCCUGCUGGAGGUUUGGAGGGGGGACUGGAAUACUUGGUGUAACAGUGAAAUGCGUAGAUAUCAAGUGGAACACCAGUGGCGAAGGCGAGUCCCUGGACAAAACCUGACACUGAGGCACGAAAGCUAGGGGAGCAAACAGG
rnacentral:rRNA from 1 species